rnacentral:rRNA from 1 species
GUCUACGGCCAUGCCACCCUGAACAAGCCCAAUCCCGUAUGAUCUCAGAAGUUAAGCAGGGUCAGGCCUGGUUAGUACUUGAAUGGGAGACCACCUAGGAAGACCAGGUUCUGAAAAAG